rnacentral:rRNA from 1 species
UGGGGAAUUUUGGACAAUGGGCGAAAGCCUGAUCCAGCCAUGCCGCGUGAGUGAAGAAGGCCUUCGGGUUGUAAAGCUCUUUCAGCCGGGAAGAAAAUGUACGGGCCAAUACCCCGUGCAGAUGACGGUACCGGAAGAAUAAGCCCCGGCUAACUCCGUGCCAGCAGCCGCGGUAAUACGGAGGGGGCUAGCGUUGUUCGGAAUUACUGGGCGUAAAGCGCGCGUAGGCGGCUUUGUAAGUUAGAGGUGAAAGCCCGGAGCUCAACUCCGGAAUUGCCUUUAAGACUGCAUCGCUAGAAUCAUGGAGAGGUUAGUGGAAUUCCGAGUGUAGAGGUGAAAUUCGUAGAUAUUCGGAAGAACACCAGUGGCGAAGGCGACUAACUGGACAUGUAUUGACGCUGAGGUGCGAAAGCGUGGGGAGCAAA